rnacentral:rRNA from 1 species
UACGAAGGGGGCGAGCGUUGUUCGGAUUUACUGGGCGUAAAGGGCGCGCAGGCGGCGCAUUUUGUCAGGCGUGAAAGCCCCGGGCUUAACCUGGGAACUGCGUUUGAUACGGAUGGGCUAGAGUUCGGGAGAGGAGAGUGGAAUUCCCAGUGUAGAGGUGGAAUUCGCAGAUAUUAGGAAGAACACCAGUGGCGAAGGCGGCUCACUGGUCCGGUAUUGACGCUGAGGUGCGAAAAGCGUGGGGGAGCA